rnacentral:lncRNA from 1 species
CUUGAAGGCUGGAGUCAUGAAGGGGUCCCUCCAGAGGUGAGUUUCCAACAACAAGCUCACAUUUUCUGCAGAUCUGUUUUCUGUGUAUUUGAUCAAGAAAAGAUCUCAGUGAUGCUAAAGGGUUGAGGUCUUCUUCAAGAGAGGAGCAGAUGACAGCAUAUAGACGUAGCUCGUGAGCAAUACCAACUGGAGGUCAGGAGAUGUUCUUCUGAAGGUGUUCUCUCUGUGUUACUUACAGGGCUGUGAUUACAGCUAUAGCAAAAUUUGAGAUGCCUUGGUUGGUGUGGGUUUCAGCUUGGUAAGAGUUUACUGGAACUGAAUUGGAAUUUCU